AGGGAUAUAGCUCAGUGGCAAGAGUGUGUGCUUAGCAUGCAACAGGUCCUAGGUUCAAUCCCCAGUUCCUCCA
rnacentral:tRNA from 1 species